GACGAACCGUCCAAACGUUAUUCGGAAUCACUGGGCUUACAGAGUUCGUAGGCGGUCUGGAAAGUUGGGUGUGAAAUCCCUCGGCCUAACCGAGGAACUGCGCUUGAAACUACCAGACUCGAGGGGAUAGAGGAAAGCGGAACUGAUGGUGGAGCGGUGAAAUGCGUUGAUAUCAUCAGGAACACCGGUGGCGAAGGCGGGUCUCUGGGCCGAUACUGACGCUGAGGAGCGAAAGCGUGGGGGAGC
rnacentral:rRNA from 1 species